GACGGAGGGUGCUAGCGUUGUUCGGAAUCACUGGGCGUAAAGGGCGCGUAGGCGGCCAGGCAAGUCGGCUUUGUGAAAGCCCGGGGCUCAACCCCGGAGGUGCGGCCGGGACUGCUUGGCUGGAGGCCGGAAGAGGAGGGUGGAAUACCCAGUGUAGAGGUGAAAUUCGUAGAUAUUGGGUGGAACACCGGUGGCGAAAGCGGCUCUCUGGUCCGGACCUGACGCUGAGGCGACGAAGGCGUGGGGAGCAAACAGG
rnacentral:rRNA from 1 species